rnacentral:rRNA from 1 species
GAUGAACGCUAGCUACAGGCUUAACACAUGCAAGUCGAGGGGCAGCAUGGUCUUAGCUUGCUAAGGCCGAUGGCGACCGGCGCACGGGUGAGUAACACGUAUCCAACCUGCCGUCUACUCUUGGACAGCCUUCUGAAAGGAAGAUUAAUACAAGAUGGCAUCAUGAGUUCACAUGUUCACAUGAUUAAAGGUAUUCCGGUAGACGAUGGGGAUGCGUUCCAUUAGAUAGUAGGCGGGGUAACGGCCCACCUAGUCUUCGAUGGAUAGGGGUUCUGAGAGGAAGGUCCCCCCACAUUGGAACUGAGACACGGUCCAAACUCCUACGGGAGGCAGCAGUGAGGAAUAUUGGUCAAUGGACGAGAGUCUGAACCAGCCAAGUAGCGUGAAGGAUGACUGCCCUAUGGGUUGUAAACUUCUUUUAUACGGGAAUAAAGUGAGGCACGUGUGCCUUUUUGUAUGUACCGUAUGAAUAAGCAUCGGCUAACUCCGUGCC